CUUUGUCAGUUUGUUGCUUCAUGUCAGUGCUUUGCUUUUUUUCAUUUUUUUUUUCCAUGCCAGGAAUUGUUUUGUCUUGUCAUGCCGUGUUUUUUGUCGCCACAAUUUUCAUGAUCCCUUGCCACAAACGAAGACGGUGUUGAUGUGGGAGAGGAUGCCAUGAAAACUGAAGUCAAUGUGAGGACGGACCAAAGAAAAAACCGAGGGGAGGAUACAGUGAGUUACCAGAUCCGCACCUGAGGCAGGACUCGAUAGAUGGCGUUCCCACACUGCGUAAGCAUCAGGUCUUUGUCAAACAUGAGGUGGAACGGGAAGGCCUUGCAAAACGUGUACGGGCUGAUCCGAGUCUCCUGUGUG